AAGUCGUAACAAGGUUUCCGUAGGUGAACCUGCGGAAGGAUCAUUAACACGUAUCCAAACGUUAAACCCCCCUUGUGAACCUUCACCUGUACUCGUACGUCCGUUAGAAAAAGCAGCAAUCCCUGGUAAAUCAUCGCCGAACAGUUUUCGAUUCAGGGAUGUCUGCAAGGAGCGUGCAUGUUGUGCGAGCAAGUGGCCUGGCAUCCCCAAGCAGUUAGUGUCUGAAAGUGUCAUUAACUGUGUAAGGAUGACGCAGUCACGAUCGUUGGAGGCCCACACGGCCGACGACCGGGUCACUGGGCGCAAGCCCCCCUAUAACAAACGCUGCUAAUCGCGGCCGCGAUAAUACGCAGUCGACCAAAAACCAAACAACUGUUAACAAUGGAUAUCUUGGUUCUC
rnacentral:misc_RNA from 1 species